UUGUAUUUGUUGUAGCUUCCAAAUGUGUUAAAACUGUCAUGUGUUCUGCUUUAUUUGUUCUCCUAUAUCAAUGUGACUCAGAUUAAUCUCAACUAUGCCAAUAGCUGGAUGAUAAUAUGGUGUGGUGGGAUUUAUGUAUUUGUUUUUCAUGAAAACAUUGGCAGACUUGCGUGAGGUGUUGUUGACAAAGCGUGUGUGUGUUUAUUUGCAUGUAAAGCAGAGAAAUGUGAUCAGAUCAUUAAGAGUGAAUUUUAAUACCAGGUGCGAAUGGUCAGCCUGCACCCUGCCUACUUUUACCUGAAUCUGCCAAGAUGCAAGUUAGCACCAGGUGUGAACAGGGUCCGACUCUGAGCCUUUUGGGGUCAAACACUCCUGGAGUGUUUCGAAACAAACAAUGACUGUGUGGGAAAGAGCGUCACAGUCACCGUUAAAUACAGAACAGGAUGUAUGAUGCUGUGGGUCCAUUUACUCUUUUCAAAUAGCCUGAGAACCUUUUAAGAAUGCAUGUAAUCGUGAACUUGAAAGUUUUCAAUUAAAUAUUGGGUGGAAAAUUGAAGAUGGAUUGUCUCUGUGACUUUUAGCAGGAUAAUGAUCCCAAAUGUGAGGAUAGAAUAGCACAGUAAAACACAUUAACACAGGGAAAUUCUGCAAAGAGGAUCAGUCAACGAUCGCCCCUUUUGUUUGUCAUAGGAGAAGACUAAAUUAUCUACAAAAUCAAUUAGUGCAAUACUGGAAAUUAAGACUUUUUUCUUCAGAGAAAGAUUGUGCUAAUUGAAAAAAGAUUAAUUUGUUUGUCCUUUACACAAAUCUGAGGUAAAUGGGGAGGGUGUCAUAAAGAAGAAAGUGAACCACUGAAAAAUACAGUAAUCAUUUACAUUUGAGUGAUUAAUCCUGGAUUUAUCUUUUCCAAAGCACACGUCAACCACUUUUCAAAUAGUUUGAAAUGUAAAAAAAAGUAAAAGUUAAACCCACAUAUGAGUUAUCUCAUAUUUUAUACGCCAAGAUCAUAUACAUUUCUGAAGAUUUUUUUUUUAUUGUCUAAUAUUAAUAUUAGUUAUUAGCUGCUUUUCUGAGGCUGUUCAGCCUUUCUGAAGAACAUAUAAACAAAACCAAUAUUUAGGCAAUCAAACAUCCAAAUAUUUGAAGAUGCUCUGAAGCUUUAACCUGCCCCUUCACAACUGACUGAAAUACAAACUAGGAAUGAGUCUAAAAGUAGGAGAUAAUAAUAUGACUUUUGUAACCUUGGAUACAGUAUGCAGCACCCACAUGAACCUUGACAUUAAAGUUAUUUGCCUAACAAUCUAAGCAGUGGUAUUGAUGUUGUGACUGAGCACACUAGCAGAGCCUGCAGGAAAAGCUUGGUCACUAAUCUAAAAAAAAAAACAAACAAAAAAAAAACUAAUUCUUAUCACCUUUUACAUUCAGUUAUUGGAAAAAUAACUAUUAAAGAA